rnacentral:rRNA from 3 species
AUUAUGACUCUCGGCAACGGAUAUCUCGGCUCUUACAUCGAUGAAGAACGUAGCGAAAUGCGAUACUUGGUGUGAAUUGCAGAAUCCCGUGAACCAUCGAGUCUUUGAACGCAAGUUGCGCCCGAGGCCUUCGGGUCGAGGGCACGCCUGCCUGGGCGUCACGC